AGCUUUCUGAAUCCGUGCAGGGAUUUCGUCAGAAGCUAACACAUUAGGGCUGGUCAGACUUCCAAGAUAAGUGAAGUU
rfam:Schistosoma mattheei strain Denwood, Zambia genome assembly, scaffold: SMTD_scaffold0008713